rnacentral:rRNA from 1 species
UACGGAGGGUGCAAGCGUUUAUCCGGAUUUACUGGGUUUAAAGGGUGCGUAGGUGGGUAGGAAAGUCAGUGGUGAAAUCUUCGGGCUUAACCCGGAAACUGCCAUUGAUACUAUUUAUCUUGAAUACUUUGGAGGUAAGCGGAAUAUGUCAUGUAGCGGUGAAAUGCUUAGAUAUGACAUAGAACACCAAAUUGCGAAGGCAGCUUACUACACAGUUAUUGACACUGAGGCACGAAAGCGUGGGGAUCAAACAGG